rnacentral:lncRNA from 1 species
ACAAAAUCCUGAUUCUAAUAGAAUACUAAUUAAACUUUAAUUAGAUCAUAAUAAUGCUGAGCAAGCUUCAAUCAAAUUCAAAAAAACCUCAAGAAAUUUCAAACAAACAAUAAGAACUCUUAAAGAAAUAUUAGAAGGAUCACAAAUAUUACUCAAAUACAUCUCAAUUCAAUCUUAAUUUAAUUCUAGUUAAAAUCCUAUUGAACUUCAUUCAAACUUUAGGCCAAACCUAAUUAAAUCUUAAAUCCUAAUAAAAUCCUAAAUCCUAAAUCAAACCCUCAAUAAAUCUUAAAUCAAACCCCAAGCAAAUCUUAAACCAAAUCCUAAAUAAAUCCUAAUCAAAUCCUAAACCAAAUCCUAAUACAAAUCCUAAACCUUAAACCAAAUCCUAACCAAAUCCUAAAUCCUAAAUCAAACCCUAAUCCAAAUCUUAAAUCCUAAACCAAACUCUAACCAAACCCUAG